rnacentral:rRNA from 1 species
CGGGUGGUAAGCGGAGGAAAAGAAACUAACAAGGAUUCCCCUAGUAACGGCGAGUGAAGCGGGAUGAGCUCAAGCUUAAAAUCUCCGUGCAAUUUUUGCACGGCGAAUUGUAGUCUAUAGAGGCGUGGUCAGUAUAAGCACUUGGGGUAAGUUCCUUGGAA